rnacentral:misc_RNA from 1 species
CAACCCUCAAGCUCUGCUUGGUAUUGGACUUUUGCCAGCGAUGGCAGGUCCUAAAAUCAGUGGCGGUGCCGUUGGGUCCUGAGCGUAGUAAUACUUCUCGCUACUGGAACCUCGCGUGCGUCUUGCCAUAACCCCCAAUUUUUUCA